rnacentral:rRNA from 1 species
AUUGAACGCUGGCGGCAGGCCUAACACAUGCAAGUCGAACGAGUGGCGGACGGGUGGGUAAUGUCUGGGCAACUGCCUGAUGGAGGGGGAUAACUACUGGAAACGGUAGCUAAUACCGCAUACCAUCGGAUGUGCCCAGAUGGGAUUAGCUAGUAGGUGGGGUAACGGCUCACCUAGGCGACGAUCCCUAGCUGGGCUGAGAGGAUGAUCAGCUACACUGGAACUGAGACACGGUCCAGAGUCCUACGGGAGGCAGCAGUGGGGAAUAUUGCACAAUGGGCGCAAGCCUGAUGCAGCCAUGCCGCGUGUAUGAAGAAGGCCUUCGGGUUGUAAAGUACUUUCAGCGGGGAGGCGUUACCCGCACAAGAAGCACCGGCUAACUCCGUGCCAGCAGCCGCGGUAAUUC